UUGGUGACUGCGGAGAUCAUUGUC
rnacentral:rRNA from 1 species